rnacentral:rRNA from 1 species
GGGUUGUGAGGUUAAGCGACUAAGCGUACACGGUGGAUGCCCUGGCAGUCAGAGGCGAUGAAGGACGUGCUAAUCUGCGAUAAGCGCCGGUAAGGUGAUAUGAACCGUUAUAACCGGCGAUUUCCGAAUGGGGAAACCCAGUGUGAUUCGUCACACUAUCAUUAACUGAAUCCAUAGGUUAAUGAGGCGAACCGGGGGAACUGAAACAUCUAAGUACCCCGAGGAAAAGAAAUCAACCGAGAUUCCCCCAGUAGCGGCGAGCGAACGGGGAGGAGCCCAGAGCCUGAAUCAGCAUGUGUGUUAGUGGAAGCGUCUGGAAAGACGCGCGAUACAGGGUGACAGCCCCGUACACAAAAGCGCAUGUGCUGUGAGCUCGAUGAGUAGGGCGGGACACGUGGUAUCCUGUCUGAAUAUGGGGGGACCAUCCUCCAAGGCUAAAUACUCCUGACUGACCGAUAGUGAACCAGUACCGUGAGGGAAAGGCGAAAAGAACCCCGGCGAGGGGAGUGAAAAAGAACCUGAAACCGUGUACG